AGGAUAAUAGUUAAAACAACAUUUAAUUUGCAUUUAAAUUAUUGAAAAUUCAAUUUAUCUUA
rnacentral:tRNA from 1 species